ACUAACAAGGAUUCCCCUAGUAACUGCGAGUGAAGCGGGAAAAGCUCAAAUUUAAAAUCUGGCGGUCUUUGACUGUCCGAGUUGUAAUCUAGAGAAGCAUUAUCCGCGCUGGACCGUGUACAAGUCUCCUGGAAUGGAGCGUCAUAGAGGGUGAGAAUCCCGUCUUUGACACGGACUGCCAGGGCUUUGUGAUGUGCUCUCAAAGAGUCGAGUUGUUUGGGAAUGCAGCUCAAAAUGGGUGGUAAAUUCCAUCUAAAGCUAAAUAUUGGCGAGAGACCGAUAGCGAACAAGUACCGUGAGGGAAAGAUGAAAAGAACUUUGGAAAGAGAGUUAAACAGUACGUGAAAUUGCUGAAAGGGAAACGCUUGAAGUCAGUCGCGUUGGCCAGGGAUCAACCUCGCUUUUUUGCUUGGCUUACUUCCUGGUUAAUGGGUCAGCAUCAAUUUUGACUGGUGGAAAAAGUUCAAGGGAAUGUGGCAUCUUCGGAUGUGUUAUAGCCUUUGCUCGCAUACAUCAGUUGGGAUUGAGGAACUCAGCACGCCGCAAGGCCGGGUUUUUAACCACGUACGUGCUUAGGAUGCUGGCAUAAUGGCUUUAAUCGACCCGUCUUGAAACACGGACCAAGGAGUCUAACAUGCCUGCGAGUGUUUGGGUGGAAAACCCGAGCGCGUAAUGAAAGUGAAAGUUGAGAUCCCUGUCGUGGGGAGCAUCGACGCCCGGAUCUGACCUUUUGUGACGAUUCCGCGGUAGAGCAUGUAUGUUGGGACCCGAAAGAUGGUGAACUAUGCCUGAAUAGGGUGAAGCCAGAGGAAACUCUGGUGGAGGYUCGUAGCGAUUCUGACGUGCAAAUCGAUCGUCAAAUUUGGGUAUAGGGGCGAAAGACUAAUCGAACCAUCUAGUA
rnacentral:rRNA from 1 species